rnacentral:rRNA from 1 species
AAACUUGGCAAUGCGAGAAAUCGUGACCAGGGAACUCCAAGUGGCUGGGGUAAGACCCAGUCUUUUCUUGACUCUUCAAAGGUCUUGGAAUAAGAGGUGGGUAAGGACGGUGCCAGCCGCCGCGGUAAUACCGGCGCCUCAAGUGGUAGUCGAUUUUAUUGGGCCUAAAACGUCCGUAGCCUGUUUGGUACAUUCGUGGGUAAAUCAACCAGCUCAACUGGUUGAAUUCUGCGAGCACGGCCAGACUUGGGACCGGGAGAGGUGUGGGGUACGCUCAGGGUAGGGGUAAAAUCCUGUCAUCCUGAGCGGACCACCUGUUGCGAAGGCGCCACACUAGAACGGAUCCGACGGUCAGGGACGAAGCCUAGGGGCACGAACCGGAUUAGAUACCCGGGUAGUCCUAGGUGUAAACGCUGUGGACUUGGUGUUGGGGAUUCUCAGAGGAUUCUCAGUGCCGAAGCGAAGGUGAUAAGUCCACUGCCUGGGGAGUACGGUCGCAAGGCUGAAACUUAA